rnacentral:rRNA from 1 species
UACGGAGGGAGCUAGCGUUGUUCGGAAUUACUGGGCGUAAAGCGCGCGUAGGCGGCUUUGUAAGUUAGAGGUGAAAGCCCGGGGCUCAACCCCGGAAUUGCCUUUAAGACUGCAUCGCUUGAAUCCGGGAGAGGUGAGUGGAAUUCCGAGUGUAGAGGUGAAAUUCGUAGAUAUUCGGAAGAACACCAGUGGCGAAGGCGGCUCACUGGACCGGCAUUGACGCUGAGGCGCGAAAGCGUGGGGAGCAAACGGGAU